CGCCGUCCAUGGCAUUGUCCAGAUGCCGGGAAGCCUCCUGUGGCUUCAGGCGCAAUGUGCGCUUGGCCAGUUCGAGUCCGCCGACGACGACC
rnacentral:tRNA from 1 species